rnacentral:lncRNA from 1 species
CCCCUCAAAACUCAAACACCCAAAAACUGUUUGAGAAAAAUAGAGAAUACAAAUUUUAGCACACAAACCCCUUAAAUACACAUAAUAAAAGCAAUAGAAAUAUAAUCCUUAAGGGGUGGAAGCCUUUAUUGUACACUCUCAAUGAAUUUCACACUUGAUUACGGCUGGAGAGUGAUUGGUGAGGUGCUUAAAUGCUUUAAUCUCUCUCUUAGGGCUGACAAUGGCUUUUCUCGAAUUUAAUCUUUGAGCAUGCAAAAAUCUUGUGAUUUUUCACUUCAAGAGAGCAUUUAUAGUUAUCAUUUAU